CCCUUAAAACGCCUCUCGUUUCAGUGCUGAUUUGUUGCCGCGCGUAUUCCUUCUCCCACCCUCCGCCGCCGUCAGUCAGUUUGUUUCACCAUCUUCUCGUUUCAAUUGAGCUUCCAUUAAUAUUCAAGUGUUUAUUCUGCUGUCAUUGGAGGAGAGGGGCUCAUAACGAAGAUGGAGACUCUGAGCAAGAAAAACAAAAGAACUGAAGACAAAGAGAGCGAAACCAACGGAGGUGAUUCACAUAUGUCUGAAAGCAAUGCAGUUGAUGAUCUUCCUUUGGCCAAAAGUAAUGAUUAUCAACAUUUGGUCGAAAGCAAUAAAAGUGAAGAUGGCAAGCAGGGCAAGAAGAAAAAUAAAAAGAAGAAAACGAGUGAAGAAAGCAAAGAUAAGGAGUAUAAGGAGUUGAAAAGCAACGAAUGUGAAGAUGAUAACCAAGGAAAGAAGAUAAAAAAGAAGCAGAUGCUAAUUGAAGGAAACACACCGAAGGAGUGUAAUGACUUUAGGAGCAAUGUAGAUGAAGAUGGAAAGCAAGACAAAAAGGUGAAGAAAAAGAAGAAGAAACUAAGUGAAGAAUGCAUACAUAAGGAGUUCGAAAGCAAUGAAUGUGAAGAUGAUAACCAAGGAAAGAUGAAAAAGAAGCAGAAGCUAAUUGAAGGAAACACACUAAAGGAGGGUAAUGACUUUAGAAGCAAUGGAGAUGAAGAUGGCAAGCAAGACAAAAAGAUGAAGAAAAAGAAGAAACUAAACGAAGAAAGCAACCAUACGGAGUAUAACGAGCGCAAUAGCAAUGAAUGUGAAGAUGAUAACCAAGGAAAGAAGAUGAAAAAAAAGCAGAAGUUAAUUGAAGGAAACUUUGGAAGCAAUGGAGGCGAAGAUGGUGAGCAAGACAAGAAGAUGAAGAAAAAGAAACUAAGUGAAGAAAGUAAACAUAAGGAGCGUAAUGAGUUCAAAAGCAAUGGAUGUGAAGAUGACCAAGGCAAGAAGAUGAAAAAGAAGCGGAAACUAGUGGAAGGAAACACACUUAAUGAGUGUAAUGACUCUAGAAGCAAUGAAUGUGAAGAUGGUGAGCAAGACAAGAUGAAGAAAAAGAAAAAGAAACUAAGUGAAGAAAGUAAACAUAAGGAGCGUAAUGAGUUCAAAAGCAAUGAAUGCGAAGAUGACCAAGGGAAGAAGAUGAAAAAGAAGCGGAAACUAAUGGAAGGAAACACACUUAAUGAGUGUAAUGACUCUAGAAGCAAUGAAUGUGAAGAUGGUGAGCAAGACAAAAAGAUGAAGAAAAAGAAAAAGAAGCCAAGUGAAGAAAGUAAACAUAAGGAGUCUAGCGAGUUUAAAAGCAAUGAAGGGAAACACAAACGAGUAACUUUUUCUGAUGAAGUAGAGACGUUUUGUUGUGAUGGCUUAGUGCGUGGGAAAAGGUUUUCACCUGAAGAAGACGAGACACUCAAAGCAUCUGUUUUUGCCUAUAUAGAUUCUCAUGGUCUGGGUGAAGAAGGUCUGGAUAAGGUUCUCCAUGCCAGGUUACACAGUGAAGUUAGAGGCUGUUGGAAAGAAAUUGCACAAGCCCUACCUCAUAGGCCCCUGUAUAGUGUGUAUCAACGUGCUCAUGCUUUGUUGGAAAAUGUUGGGAGAUGUAAGUGGACACCUGACGAGCUUGAAUUUAUACGGAAGUCCUACGAGCAACAUGGACCUGAUUGGAGGUUAAUAGCUGAUGCUUUGGGUAAAAGUCGGGAUCAGGUAAAAGAUUUGUGGCGCAGAUUAAAAUAUAAGAAAGCGAGACAUGGACAUUGGUCCCAAGAGGAGUAUCAAACUUUAUUUAAUUUAGUAAACAUGGAUCUGCGCGCAAGGUCUUUAGAGCCUUUUAGAAAAUCACAACAUGGUAUGUUGCGAGAUAAUAUUUGUUGGGAGGCAAUUGGUCACAAAUUGGAAACCCGAAACAGUGCAUAUUGCUGCAAGAAGUGGUAUGAGGAGUUAACAUCAACAAUGGUUGCUCGUGGUGAAUGGUGUGAUACUGACGACUUCCGCUUGAUAGAUGCUUUAUAUACUUUGGAUGCUUGCUGCAUGGAGGAGGUAGAGUGGGACGAGCUACUUGAGCAUAGGUCUGGUGAUGCAUGCAGAAAACGAUGGGAGCAAAUGGUUCAACAUCUUGGGGAGCAUGCAAGGAAGCCAUUUAUGGAGCAGGUUGAAGUUCUUACAAAGAGAUUCUGCCCUGACUUGUUGGAAGCAAGAGAAACCUUUGACAACAAACCUGUGACUUGUUGAUGUUUCUAACCAACAAAAUGAUUUUGAGCCAUAAUUUCAGCCAUGGUAAUACCAAGAAGAAAAGAUGAAGUAAUUGAUAUGAAGGCUCAUAUAGCAUAACCGUCACUUCUAUUUUUCAUUUGAAUCUUGCAUCUGGGAGGAAUCCAGGAAACGUCUUCAGCUCCUUUUUGAUUUCCUUGGUAAAAAACAUAUAAGCUACGUCAGUGUGAUAGGUAUAUCAGAAAGAUACUGAUUGAACAAGUAAAUUUUGUUAGGCGAACUGCUUCUGCAAUAAGCUAGGUCAGUGUGAUAUCUUUUGAAAAUUAUUUAUAAGUUAGAGACAUCCCUUAUCAUACAAAUCAAUUUUGUGAAGUUGAGUUAGACUCAACCCAAGUUGUAACAAUUUUCAUUGCCGAACACUCCAGAACUUGUCGGAUGGAACGGUCAAUAUUCGUGUACAAUAUGUUUCAAUUUUACGUGCAAUUCUUACCAAUGUGAAUGCCGAUUUGAGAAUGUAAAAAGAGUGUUAUGCAGUGAAGCAAGCUCUGAAGAAAUGAGUACCGAGCUUUCGGACACCUAAGUUGAUCCGGCUCUAUGGGAAAUUAGUGGCCACAUGAAGUGUUGAAGAGGAAUAAAGAAGAGCUAUGAUGAGGGAUUUGAAGCCAUUGCUUGGAGGCUUCUUGCAGAGAUUUUGCUAUACUUUUUCAGUUCCAAUCUGUACUUGUUAUGGUGGAUUUAUGUUUACAUAGUUGUUUUUUAGAAUCUUGACCAAAAUAAAGAUGUUAUUUAAACUCAAAAUUGUUUCAUGUUGGUUUUUUCAAAUAUGUUCUGGUUCUAUUAAAUUGUACAGUUAUUUCAGUUCUUUCUUUGUAC